AGAGUUUGAUCCUGGCUCAGAACGAACGCUGGCGGCGUGCUUAACACAUGCAAGUCGAACGCGAAAAUUUUCCUCGGAAAGUGAGUAGAGUGGCGUACGGGUGAGUAACGCGUAAGUUAUCUACCUCGGCAUCCGGAAUAACUCACCGAAAGGUGUGCUAAUACCGGAUACGUUGAGUAAUCAAGAAAGGUGGCCUCUGAAUAUGCUACUGUGCUGAGAUGAGCUUGCGUACCGUUAGCUAGUUGGUAGGGUAAUGGCCUACCAAGGCAACGAUGGUUAGCGGGUCUGAGAGGAUGAUCCGCCACACUGGAACUGAAACACGGACCAGACUCCUACGGGAGGCAGCAGUGAGGAAUAUUGCGCAAUGGGGGAAACCCUGACGCAGCGACGCCGCGUGGAUGAUGAAGGCCUUCGGGUCGUAAAAUCCUGUCAGAUGGAAAGAAAUGCAUGGUGGCUAAUACCUGCCAUGUUUGACGGUACCAUCGAAGGAAGCACCGGCUAACUCCGUGCCAGCAGCCGCGGUAAUACGGAGGGUGCAAGCGUUGUUCGGAAUUACUGGGCGUAAAGCGCGCGUAGGCGGUUUGUUAAGUCAGAUGUGUAAUCCCCGAGCUCAACUUGGGAACUGCAUCUGAGACUGGCAGGCUAGAGUACUGGAGAGGGUGGUGGAAUUCCUCGUGUAGCGGUGAAAUGCGUAGAGAUGAGGAGGAACACCAGUGGCGAAGGCGGCCACCUGGACAGUAACUGACGCUGAGGCGCGAAAGUGUGGGUAGCAAACAGGAUUAGAUACCCUGGUAGUCC
rnacentral:rRNA from 1 species